UAUUAAUCAAGCUUCUUCUUGAAACAGGCCAAGCUCCCACCAUGGGUAUGAAGGAAAACCUUUUGUCUCCGCUCAAGCAUUUCUGCCUUAGCAUUGCGGCUCCAGCAUUUUGCAUAUGUCCGAAAUCUUGUUUUUCACAGCAUUUUAUUGUUUAUAAGAUGUGAUUUUGUCUCCUUCUAUGCCAUUUGCAUCAUUAGGUUUAGGGCAGGGGAGAAGGAUACCCACCUGUCAUCAUCCUCUGUCUGGCAGAUUUGGAAUGAAAUGUCUCAGCCACGGUUGUUUUAAGAUCUUUUCACCUUGUAAAGUGAAAAAUCAAAACGAUGCCUCUACCACCUGCUCAGGACUAGAGCUCUUCUCCCCACAACCCAGUUGUCCUACAGAGAUGGAAAGAGAGAAAUGCCACUUCCUUGUGAAGCUGCUGCUCGAGUCAACUUUGAUUCAUAGGCUGUGUGCACGCACCUUACCAACUUAAAACUCAGCUAAGUCCUUAUUUUUCUCAGUUUGAACCUAGUUUUGGGAAAAAAUAGAUCAAAACAAAGUAUUUCAUAACCAACAACAGGAUAGAUGUGGAUUGUGGCUUACUUUGUGUAUACAUCAUUUCCCAAACCAGUGGUGGAAGCGCAUUGGAGGCAAAAGUACACCCUGAGACAAUUACAUUAAAACUUAAACGUGUGCAAAAUGUUACUAUUCACAACAGCCUGGGACAGCUAACGUAACACCUGUAAUGCACAAUACUCCCAUUAGAAACCCAGUGCAACCAUCAUAAGUCAUUACAAUCCUGAGCUUGAUGACAGCCCAUCAGUUGGGCUCAUUCAUAGGUAGCCUCAUACAUUGAUCGAAUAAAAGUAUUUUGCACACUUUGAGAAAGUUAUUUGGUCUUCAAAUCACCUCAACAAAUGGGCCAGUAGAGGGCAGCGUGCCAUAAAGCUCUGUGAAUAUGGGCUUUAGGAGGAAAUCUCAAUUUUUAAAACAUUUUAUUCUUGCUGAUGUAUGUUCAUUGUAACUAAAAACCCUUCUCAGAAUUUUGAUGGAAAUCUGCUGUUUCUGGAAUUCCUUGUCACUUAGGGAAGUGGGUAGCGUGCACCACUAUGACGCUUGUAAGACAAACAGAUUCUGCAGCUAAGUGCAACAACUAAUCACGCAUUUCUGAGCAUCCACACUUGAGUGCUAAAACUGAAACCAAUAUUUUCUGCAGUAGCAGAUGUACUCUUCCUGAUCUGAAAGAUAGUAUCCUUUCAUAAUGACGUUUCUCUUUUUAUCCCAGCAUUGUGAAGCAUGGCUGGUGAUCCAGAUUUACAUGAGAAGGGGAACUACUUACUUCCUCUUUAUUGCUAGUAUUAAAUACAGUUUUGCAGCUCUA